GCGGUGAGGACAAGGUUACUAGCGGUGAGGACAAGGUUCAUGGCGGUGAGGACAAGGUUCCUGGCGGUGAGGACAAGGUUCCUGGCGCUGAGGACAAGGUUACAGGCGGUGAGGACAAGGUUACUAGCGGUGAGGACAAGGUUCCUGGCAGUGAGGAGAAGGUUCCUGGCGGUGAGGACAAGGUUACUAGCGGUGAGGACAAGGUUCUUGGCGAUGAGGACAAGGUUACUAGCGGUGAGGACAAGGUUCCUCGCGGUGAGGACAAGGUUCCUGGCGGUGAGGACAAGGUUCCUGGCGGUGAGGACAAGGUUCCUGGCGGUGAGGACAAGGUUCCUGGCAGUGAGGACAAGGUUCCUGGCGGUGAGGACAAUGUUCCUGGCGGUGAGGACAA